UACGUAGCAGCGAGCGUUGUUCGGAAUUACUGGGCGUAAAGGGCUCGUAGGCGGCCAACUAAGUCAGACGUGAAAUCCCUCGGCUUAACCGGGGAACUGCGUCUGAUACUGGAUGGCUUGAGAUUGGGAGAGGGAUGCGGAAUUCCAGGUGUAGCGGUGAAAUGCGUAGAUAUCUGGAGGAACACCGGUGGCGAAGGCGGCAUCCUGGACCAACACUGACGCUGAGGAGCGAAAGCCAGGG
rnacentral:rRNA from 1 species